AACUUUAACAAUGAAACAAGUGGCGUUAUUCUUUUCUUUUUCUGGAUUAUUUAUUUAUUUUCAUUGGUUAUAUUACAUUCUAGUUUACAUUUGAGUCGUUUUAAUUAUUCCAAUAGUUCGAAAGAGUAAGAAUUUUCUUUAAAUUUCGUUUUAUUUUGUGUAAGUUUUAAUUUACUAUCUCAUUGUAACGUGAAUAGAAAAAUGACCAUUGACGACAAUCACGUGUUUGGAAUAAUUUUUUCCAAAUUUAAAGUUUGUAGAAUUUUGAUUAAUUUUAAUUUUCGUCUUAUAAAAUUAAAAGUACUCGGGAGUGUCCUAAUAAUCUCGCAAUCGGUAAGAAGUGUGGAAUAGUGUAAACAGUGUGAAAUGAAAUAAAUUCAAUCACAAUCGGUGAAACCAAGUGCGCGAUGAAAUGACAGCACGACCACAUGUUGCUGUCUCUAAGUGUUUAACAUAAAAAAAAUUGUACCAGUGUGAUUAAAAACUCGUGUUAAAGUGUUCAGUGUUUUUUUGGAAGACAACAUCUGGAGUUUAUCAAGUGGAUAAAAAUCGAGAGGAUUGGAGAGAGACAGUCAUCCCCAAACCAGGUACGAAGUUUGAUCAUAAUUUGGUGAAUUUGGUCCAGAUGGGGACAGGAAGCCGUAUAACACGGGACAGCGAUAAAAGCCUUUAGGCACCUGCUGGAUCGCACAGAUGCUCUCCGCUUGAUUAUACAAAUGAGCUUCUCACUGAAUCCACCCGCUUCUCACACACGAAUAAAGAAAUGAUGCACGUGUUGAACAGAUUUUCCGAAAUGAACUCGAACCAAAAUGGGAAUUUUGGCGCUCUCUAGUGAUGCUCGGCUCAACAAUUUCAUCGGAGACGAAUG